rnacentral:lncRNA from 1 species
ACACAGUUGCAUUCUGUGACUGUGGCGUUCCAUGCUCUAGGAGUUUGUUGACUUCUCCACAGACCUUGGUAACCACUUCCAUCUUGAGGAAACCAUGGAGGAUCACACUUUCCAAAAGAGGUAUUACUUGGAAGAAGAAGAUCCUGAUCAGAAGAUUCUAGAGGAAAGAAGAAUUGCAGAAAAGGAAAAAAGAAAGAGAAGAGAUUUCGCAUUAUGAGGAUCCUUGCCACAGAGGCGGGCAACAGGAUUAGGGAGGAAGAAGAAAAAAACGAACAGAUGUUUCUAAUGUAUGAGGAUAAAGAGUAUUUUAAACUAGCCUUGGAUAAUAACCUUCAGGCCCAGAAAAGGGUGAUGAAGGAAGAAGAGGAGAAGCUAAGGAAGCAAUAUAGUUGGCAGCAGUCUCAGCCAGUGGCAUUAACCCAAGCACCAGAACUGGGUGAUCUUCCCAGAUGUGUACAGAAUUUCCAUGGCUGCUGGAAGAUCUGCACUCGUGGAGAGCCGUUGGAUACAUUUCUAAAGCUCCAGGCCCAGAUAAGAGAGGAAGAGUCAUUCAAGGAGCUUCCCCCGAUGUCUGGGAGGAGGGGAAAGGCUGUUUCUGAUAUUAGAUCCAUACAGACCUCAGCUCUUAAUCCAUUUCUGGGAUUCUGAGCCCCAAGCAUUGUCUCAAGUAAAUAAGGAUGUUUCCCGGCUUUUCUGGAGGAGACAGUCAACAGUACAGCAAGAUUCAGAGAAAGAGUGGAUGGGAAGUUCUGUAGAGACUUAAUUGUUAUUCAAAACUCUGUCUACUAGUGAUUUUUAAAUAUGAGUCAUUUGCUGCAAUUAAAACAUUAACUAUUCAUUAU